GCCUCCUUGGCUCAGUUGGCUAGAGCGCAGGUCUCAUAUCACGUGAUCAUGAGUGGCUUCGGCCAUACAAUCCUGAGGUCGCAAGUUCGAGCCUUGCAGGGGGCA